AGCCAGUGACGACGAAGGAGACGACGGCUGAAGCUUGAGACGAGGAAGGCAAGAAUCGAGCAUGAACCACAACGGCUUGACAGUACGGGACGAUGAAAUCACUGUAUCUCGGACGCACCUUGGAGCGGACCUGCAACGCGGGAAGAAGAAGCCGCGCGCACUUGGACAAACUCGAUGUCAGUAUCAGAGCGGCUUAGUGAAACGGGUUG
rnacentral:lncRNA from 1 species